rnacentral:rRNA from 1 species
GGUGAACGCUGGCGGUAGGCCUAACACAUGCAAGUCGAACGGCAGCACAGUAAGAGCUUGCUCUUACGGGUGGCGAGUGGCGGACGGGUGAGGAAUACAUCGGAAUCUACUUUUUCGUGGGGGAUAACGUAGGGAAACUUACGCUAAUACCGCACAAGACCUACGGGUGAAAGCAGGGGAUCUUCGGACCUUGCGCGAUUGAAUGAGCCGAUGUCGGAUUAGCUAGUUGGCGGGGUAAAGGCCCACCAAGGCGACGAUCCGUAGCUGGUCUGAGAGGAUGAUCAGCCACACUGGAACUGAGACACGGUCCAGACUCCUACGGGAGGCAGCAGUGGGGAAUAUUGGACAAUGGGCGCAAGCCUGAUCCAGCCAUACCGCGUGGGUGAAGAAGGCCUUCGGGUUGUAAAGCCCUUUUGUUGGGAAAGAAAAGCAGCAGGUUAAUACCCCGCUGUUCUGACGGUACCCAAAGAAUAAGCACCGGCUAACUUCGUG